rnacentral:lncRNA from 1 species
CAGACAGCCUGAGGAAAAGUCCCAGAUCCCUGCUUGGCCUUCCUUGAUACCAUCCUGAAACAAGAUAGCAGAUUGGUGAUCCAGUGGUGACCAGGUCUACAUGGUUUGUGAUGAGCCAGAACACCCAGGUCCUAGAACUACACAUCCCAUUACCUACAUUGCAGCCCUUUACUAGGAGUCCCAUGGCUCAGCUAUUAAUAUAUUGAAAUUAUGCAGCUGUCAUGACAUCCAGUCUAUGCUUCCACUUCAGAGAAAACCAACUAGAGGAACAUUAACAAUUGGGAAACUAUUAGAAAGAUAAGGAUGGCUCCACUCAGAAUAUAACUGUUCAACGUGUGCUUGAAAAUAUUGUGUAUUCUCUAACUGUAAGCAUUAUGUGCGUAAGACGAAGUUUGCUAAUUGAAUUUGUUAAGUUUUCAGUAAGCUUAAUUCUUUGCCUGUUAAAUCUAUCAUUUCUAAGAGAUAUGUUUAAACUCUCCCAUUAUUACGGAGAUUUAUCCAGUUUUCU